CCUACGGGUGGCAGCAGUGAGGAAUAUUGGUCAAUGGACGAGAGUCUGAACCAGCCAAGCAGCGUGAAGGAUGACUGCCUUAGGGGUUGUAAACUUUUUUUAUAUGGGAAUAAAAUGUUCCAGGUGAGGGUUUUUGUAUGUACCAUAUGAAUAAGGAUCGGCCAACUCCGUGCCGGCAGCCGCGGUAAUACGGAGGAUCCGAGCGUUAUCCGGAUUUAUUGGGUUUAAAGGGAGCGUAGGUGGAUUGUUAAGUUAGUUGUGAAAGUUUGCGGCUCAACCGUUAAACUGCAGUUGAAUCUGGCAGUCUUGAGUACAGUAGAGGUGGGCGGAAUUCGUGGUGUAGCGGUGAAAUGCUUAGAUAUCACGAAGAACUCCGAUUGCGAAGGCAGCUCACUGGACUGCAACUGACACUGAGGCUCGAAAGUGUGGGUAUCAAACAGGAUUAGAUACCCUGGUAGUC
rnacentral:rRNA from 1 species